CGCCCCUCGCUUCGCUCCAGGCCCCGUCACCUCACCUGGGUGGCCUUCCCCCACAGACUCGGAGGUGAAGAGGAACGUGCCCUCCUCGAUGAACGCGUCGUGGAAGCCGUUGAGCUGCCCGUUCAUGGUGAUGGCGAGAUCCCCGUUGGCCUUACUUAGGCCAGAAGACAACGGAGCCUGCUGAUGUCUAUACAGGUACCAUAUUAUACGGUAUGAAAGUGUAAAUGUAAUACCACAACCCUACUACCAGCUAUGACAUCUUUGGGUAACUGACCCUAAUGUGCGCUAUUUCCUCCACGAAUAUGUGAGCUGAAAGAUUCAGCCAUUCCAUCUAUGUGGUUGCCUCCAAAGCCCCCCGCCCCGCCUGACCUUUCUGGUGACUCUAGACCCACACAUCCACCUGCUUGAGGGAAAGUUCCACGUUGCUGUCAGACCAAUGCUGGCCCCAGAGUUCAACGCUCCAAACUGACCUCAUCGUUCUUCCAGGCUUGAAACCUAGGAUCUAUUUUCCACUCCUGCCUCUCCCUUGGCACAGUUAAUCCCCACAGCGGAGUCACCCGCUGCUGCUAGUGGCUUUCACACUCGUCACAUUGUAAAUAGCUGUGAGACGCAGUGGGUAUGUGACCUGUCACACAGACCAGGCAGAAUGGGUCCCCACCUGGAAGAGGCUGGCGUCAGUAUAGAAGUCCAUUAUAAACAUCAAAAGUGGUGUGUGGGGCUUCCCUCGUGGCGCAGUGGUUGAGAGUCCGCCUGCCGAUGUAGGGGACACGGGUUCGUGCCCCGGUCCGGGAGGAUCCCACGUGCCGCGGAGCGGCUGGGCCCGUGGGCCAUGGCCGCUGGGCCUGCGUGUCUGGAGCCUGUGCUCCGCGAUGGGAGAGGCCGCAACGGUGAGAGGUCCGCGUACCGCAAAAAAAAAAAAAAAAAAAAAAAAAAAAAAAAAAUGGUGUGUGGUGCUUCCCUGGUGGCGCAGUGGUUAAGAACCUGCCUGCCAAUGCAGGGGACACGGGUUCGAUCCCUGGUCCGGGAAGAUCCCACAUGCCGCGGAGCAACUAAGCCCAUGCACCACAACUACUGAGCCUGCGCUCUAGAGCCCACGAGCCACAACUGCUGGAGCCCGUGCGCCUAGAACCGUGCUCUGCACCAAGAGAAGCCACCGCAAUGAGAAGUCCAUGCACCGCAACGAAAAGUAGCCCCCGCUCGCCACAACUAGAGAAAGCCUGUGCGCAGCAACGAAGACCCAACGCAGCCAAAAAAUAAUAAUAAAUAAAUAAAAGUGGUGUGUGACCGUGCGGGGGACAAGGGGGUGAGGGCAGGGGAGAUGGGAGGAGGCAGAGAUAUGGUCAAGGUCUAUGUCAGAUCACCAGGGUAAGAGGGGUCAACAAGCAGGGCAAGCAUAAGAAUUGACGUCGUGAGCCAGGAGCAGACCUGGGAGCUGAGUUGACGGGGCUCAUAGGACAGAGCAUGGGAGCUCUCACUGGUUUAUAGGGAUGGAGUUUGCUUUGGGGGGUCAGAGGUGGGUUCCCCUUGGAGAGGCCCAGGCCUGCAUUUUCUCAGCUGUGUUGUGGCCCUGGGCUCGUGGAACCAUGUACACCUAUCAAUUCCCUCCUUUCCAUCCUCCUGACCACACCCCAGCCCAGAGGGAUUCCUUACUUGCCUGAAAGUUGGGAACGAUCUGGUCUCUCUGCCUGGCAUCAGACCAUUAUGCAUUGCAGCCUCUGGAGAAGGAGCAACCAACAUCCACUGCACACCCGCUGAGGCCUUUUGUGUAUUUUAUCACAUUCAUCCCGGCAGCAAGACAUGAUGGUGACAUCUGACAUUUGUUCCCUACCUCUGGUUUGUGUUUUAUUUUCACAAACACGAACUCAUUUGACCCUGUGGCAACCCAGUGAAGUGGUCAGAGCCCUAUUUGGUGGAUGAGAAAACUGGAGCCAGAGGGAUUAAACUGACCACCCAAAGGCACCCAGGUCCUUGUUACUCAAAGUAUAGUCCAUCAGUAUCACCUGGGGGCUUGUUAGAAACACAGGAUCUUGGGCCCACCCAGGCCACAAAACCAGAAUCAGCAUUUUAACAGGAGCCUUCCCCGCCCGACCCGCCAGGGAUUCGCUGGCCUGAGCAGUUGUUGGAGGAGAAACCAGCCUUACACGGCUAAGUCCACUCCAGUCCACAAUGUUUGACACAAAUACCCGAAGGUUACAUGCAACUCUCUGGGUCAAGCUUGGCCACCGGCUGGGAGUGAAAUUGACCAAGUCGGGGAUUGGAUGGUGGGAGAAGAGGGGAAGAGGGAUGUCAAGCUGAGGGGCGUUUGUGGAGGUUUUGCUGGGUGCCCGUGGCUAUGGUUCCAGGCACACAUGGCGAGGAGGCCCCGGAGCUGAGUGCAGCUGGGGAGCGAGACACAGGAGCCCAUCAGAGCAGAUUGCAACCCAGCACACAGGGGUGAGCUAAGUGGUGCGGCCGCACGGUUAGUGCUGGAGAAAGGGCCGGUCCAUCGGGAGUGGAGGGUCUUCCUGAGCAGAGGCAGAAGGAAGGCAGGAGGAGGCAAGUAGGCCUGGAGUGUGGUGGGCCCUUCAGACCAGGUGAGGGAGUGCAAGUUCGGUCUGGUGGGCAGUGUCUUUGGAGGGUCUUGGCCUGAGAGUGUCUUACUCACUUCUGUACCUUUUGUUACCCUCACCAGUCUCCCCUUCUCAGGGAAACUUCUGUGUUUACCAUCCCUCUUAGGACCUUGCAGCUGGUAGAACUGCUCCCUGCCAAUUCUCAGCAUCCGAAUUUACAUCCACCAGGUCCCCUUCCCUCUUUCUGAGUCUUGAGAAGACCACCACUUGUUACCCAGUCACUCAGCCACUCACCUUGGGAGUGAUCCCUGACUCCUCCCUUUCUUAUGACGUCCACAUUCAGUUCGAUUGCCUCUGCUCUGAAUUAUCUCUGAUAAGAACCCUUUAUCCAAGAAGAUGUGACACAUAUAUACAAUGGAAUAUUACUCAGCCAUAAAAAGAAACGAAAUUGAGUUAUUUGUAGUGAGGUGGAUGGACCUAGAGUCUGUCAUACAGAGUGAAGUAAGUCAGAAAGAGAAAAACAAAUACCGUAUGCUAACACAUAUAUAUGGAAUCUAAAAAAAAAAAAAAGGUUCUGAUGAACCUAGGGGCAGGACAGGAAUAAAGACGCAGGCAUAGGGAAAGGACUUGAGGACACGGGGAGAGGGAAGGGUAAGAUGGGAUAAGUGAGAGAGUGGCAUGGACCUAUAUACACUACCAAAUGUAAAAUAGAUAGCUAGUGGGAAACAGCUGCAUAGCACAGGAGAUCAGCUCUGUGCUUUGUGUCCACCUCGAGGGGUGGGAUAGGGAGGGUGGGAGGGAGACGCAAGAGGGAGGGGAUAUAGGGAUAUAUGUAUACGUAUAGCUGAUUCACUUUGUUAUAUAGCAGCAACUAACACAACAUUGUAAAGCAAUUAUACGCCAAUAAAGAUGUUUAAAAAAAAAAAAGAACCCUUUAUCCGUAAAGGGUUUCCUUACCUCCAGUAUCCCCACUCCACACACAGGAGUCUUGGAGGUUUCCUUUGAUGAGCCCAAAUUCUGCAGCCUCAGCUAUUGUUCAUAGCUCUCCACACCUUCCUCCCACCUGACUCUACCUCUCACUUUCCCCAGGGUUCCUGUUGAGACAGUCACCGGCCUGGGGAGACCUCCUGUCUUUGCGUCUUCUAUCCAAAGCCUGCCUCUCUUUCUAUGCCUAUUACAUGCCUUCACUUCUUUUAUGUUGGGCUUAGAACCAGGGAUUUGUGAUGAGUUGCCCCAAUGUUCAUGAUGAUUUCUGUUAUGCACAAAUGUCCUAGAAGAGACUGGAAUAAAGUAACAACAUAGCAACCA